GACGAACGCUGGCGGCGUGCUUAACACAUGCAAGUCGAACGGAAAGGCCCUGCUUUUGUGGGGUGCUCGAGUGGCGAACGGGUGAGUAACACGUGAGUAACCUGCCCUUGACUUUGGGAUAACUUCAGGAAACUGGGGCUAAUACCGGAUAGGAGCUCCUGCUGCAUGGAGGGGGUUGGAAAGUUUCGGCGGUUGGGGAUGGACUCGCGGCUUAUCAGCUUGUUGGUGGGGUAGUGGCUUACCAAGGCUUUGACGGGUAGCCGGCCUGGGAGGGUGACCGGCCACAUUGGGACUGAGAUACGGCCCAGACUCCUACGGGAGGCAGAAGUGGGGAAUAUUGCACAAUGGGCGGAAGCCUGAUGCAGCAACGCCGCGUGCGGGAUGACGGCCUUCGGGUUGUAAACCGCUUUCGCCUGUGACGAAGCGUGAGUGACGGUAAUGGGUAAAGAAGCACCGGCUAACUACGUG
rnacentral:rRNA from 1 species